CCUACGGGCGGCAGCAGUGGGGAAUAUUGCACAAUGGGGGGAACCCUGAUGCAGCGACGCCGCGUGAGUGAAGAAGUAUCUCGGUACGUAAAGCCCUAUCAGCCGGGAAGCAAAUGACGGUACCUGACUACGAAGCACCGGCUAAAUACGUGCCAGAAGCCGCGGUAAUACGUAGGGGGCCAGCGUUAUCCGGAUUUACUGGGUGUAAAGGGAGCGUAGACGGCAGCACAAGUCUGGAGUGAAAUCCCGGGGCUUAACCCCGGAACUGCCUUGGAAACUGGGCGGCUGGAGUGCAGGAGGGGUAAGCGGAAUGCGGAGUGUAGCGGUGAAAUGCGUAGAUAUUAGGAGGAACACCGGUGGCGAAGGCGGCUUACUGG
rnacentral:rRNA from 1 species